ACAACAUGAAAUUAGCCGCUACUGUCUAAGCAUCCUUUCAUUCUAGAGACGAAAUUGCGUUAUUCCCUUCACAGUUGAUUGCUCUCUCGAGCUCCUCAGUUACACAACCAUGCAGAUGGUUCCCCUUCCAUUUCCGUGAGAUCUUCAUCCUCCGUAUGCUCUCUUGAGAUCCCUAGAUCGUUAGACUGAUAGUCAAGGCCGGAACAAAGAAGGGAAGAUUGUGCUCUUUCCUCGUGUUUGAGUACAUGGAAAAUGACGUGAAGAAAUUCAUCCGGAGCUAUCGCUCCGUUGGGGAAGACAUUCCCCUAGAGUCAUUUUGACUCAAAAAUUGAAUAAAGAAGUACACUCACGAGGUGAACCAAGCUGCACCAUUUCACACACCUUCUUAGUUAAUUAUCUUGUCUAGUGUUUUAUUGACUAUUGAUGAAGUGAACUGAUGCCUUGUGAAGAAGAAGAAAACGAUGAUUUGCUUGUUAGUUUUGUUUUAUUUGAUUUUUUGUAUAAUUAAAUUGGAGGAACUUGCUGACAAGUGUAAAUUGGAUUCAUAUGUAUUUGAAUUUGUCGAGUCUUGUAACCAUAAAAUUCAUAAAUUAUUAUGUAAUUAUUUUGGGCA